GGUCUGUGGCUCAGUGGUAGAGCAUCCGCUUGGCAUGCAGAAGGUCCCGUGUUCGGUCCCCGGCGUCUCCA
rnacentral:tRNA from 1 species